rnacentral:tRNA from 1 species
GAAUUAUCUUCAGUGAGCUUCUAACUCAUAUACAAGAACUAAUAUUUCUUAUAAUUCU